GGAUGUGAGGGUGAUCUGGCUGCAACAUCUGUUACCCCAUUGAUUGCCAGGGUUGAUUUGACUGAUCUGGCUGGUUAGGUGGGUGCUCCCUUCCUCCCUCACUACUCUAUGUGCAUCUCUCCUGAAGUUGCACGCUUGGUUGUAGGGGAUGACCUUCCCUGAUAGAGGAGGAAUGUUCUUGUCAAGGGUAUACAAGUAGCUGCGCUCUCCUGCUGGAACCUCCAAACAAGCUCUCAAAAUAAAAAAUAAAAAGGGCUGAGGAUGUGGCUCUAGGUUCAAUUUCUGCUACCAAAAACAAAAACAAAACAAAUAAAACCCCACCAAUAUAAAAUUUUUUAAAUUAAUUUUUUAUUU
ensembl:misc_RNA 7SK 7SK RNA